GUGGGGAAUAUUGGACAAUGGGCGCAAGCCUGAUCCAGCCAUGCCGCGUGAGUGAUGAAGGCCUUAGGGUUGUAAAGCUCUUUCACCGAUGAAGAUAAUGACGGUAGUCGGAGAAGAAGCCCCGGCUAACUUCGUGCCAGCAGCCGCGGUAAUACGAAGGGGGCUAGCGUUGUUCGGAUUUACUGGGCGUAAAGCGCACGUAGGCGGUUUGUUAAGUCAGGGGUGAAAUCCCGGAGCUCAACUCCGGAACUGCCUUUGAUACUGGCAAGCUAGAGUCCGGAAGAGGUAAGUGGAACUCCUAGUGUAGAGGUGGAAUUCGUAGAUAUUAGGAAGAACACCAGUGGCGAAGGCGGCUUACUGGUCCGGAACUGACGCUGAGGUGCGAAAGCGUGGGGAGCAAACAGGAUUAGAUACCCCAGUAGUCC
rnacentral:rRNA from 1 species